UACGUAGGGUGCAAGCGUUGUCCGGAAUUAUUGGGCGUAAAGAGCUCGUAGGUGGCCUGUCGCGUCGGCUGUGAAAACUCGGGGCUCAACUCCGAGCUUGCAGUCGAUACGGGCAGGCUGGAGUUCGGCAGGGGAGACUGGAAUUCCUGGUGUAGCGGUGAAAUGCGCAGAUAUCAGGAGGAACACCGGUGGCGAAGGCGGGUCUCUGGGCCGAUACUGACGCUGAGGAGCGAAAGCGUGGGGAGCGAACAGG
rnacentral:rRNA from 1 species